CGGGACGUGGCGCAGUUUGGCAGCGCGCCUGGCUGGGGGCCAGGAGGUCGCCGGUUCGAGUCCGGCCGUCCCGACCA
rnacentral:tRNA from 1 species